rnacentral:rRNA from 1 species
CGCUAGCUACAGGCUUAACACAUGCAAGUCGAGGGGCAGCAUGGUCUUAGCUUGCUAAGGCCGAUGGCGACCGGCGCACGGGUGAGUAACACGUAUCCAACCUGCCGUCUACUCUUGGACAGCCUUCUGAAAGGAAGAUUAAUACAAGAUGGCAUCAUGAGUCCACAUGUUCACAUGAUUAAAGGUAUUCCGGUAGACGAUGGGGAUGCGUUCCAUUAGAUAGUAGGCGGGGUAACGGCCCACCUAGUCUUCGAUGGAUAGGGGUUCUGAGAGGAAGGUCCCCCACAUUGGAACUGAGACACGGUCCAAACUCCUACGGGAGGCAGCAGUGAGGAAUAUUGGUCAAUGGGCGAGAGCCUGAACCAGCCAAGUAGCGUGAAGGAUGACUGCCCUAUGGGUUGUAAACUUCUUUUAUAAAGGAAUAAAGUCGGGUAUGGAUACCCGUUUGCAUGUACUUUAUGAAUAAGGAUCGGCUAACUCCGUGCCAGCAGCCGCGGUAAUACGGAGGAUCCGAGCGUUAUCCGGAUUUAUUGGGUUUAAAGGGAGCGUAGAUGGAUGUUUAAGUCAGUUGUGAAAGUUUGCGGCUCAACCGUAAAAUUGCAGUUGAUACUGGAUAUCUUGAGUGCAGUUGAGGCAGGCGGAAUUCGUGGUGUAGCGGUGAAAUGCUUAGAUAUCACGAAGAACUCCGAUUGCGAAGGCAGCCUGCUAAGCUGCAACUGACAUUGAGGCUCGAAAGUGUGGGUAUCGAACAGGAUUAGAUACCCUGGUAGUCCACACGGUAAACGAUGAAUACUCGCUGUUUGCGAUAUACAGCAAGCGGCCAAGCGAAAGCGUUAAGUAUUCCACCUGGGGAGUACGCCGGCAACGGUGAAACUCAAAGGAAUUGACGGGGGCCCGCACAAGCGGAGGAACAUGUGGUUUAAUUCGAUGAUACGCGAGGAACCUUACCCGGGCUUAAAUUGCAGAUGAAUUACGGUGAAAGCCGUAAGCCGCAAGGCAUCUGUGAAGGUGCUGCAUGGUUGUCGUCAGCUCGUGCCGUGAGGUGUCGGCUUAAGUGCCAUAACGAGCGCAACCCUUGUUGUCAGUUACUAACAGGUUCCGCUGAGGACUCUGACAAGACUGCCAUCGUAAGAUGUGAGGAAGGUGGGGAUGACGUCAAAUCAGCACGGCCCUUACGUCCGGGGCUACACACGUGUUACAAUGGGGGGUACAGAGGGCCGCUACCACGCGAGUGGAUGCCAAUCCCAAAAACCUCUCUCAGUUCGGACUGGAGUCUGCAACCCGACUCCACGAAGCUGGAUUCGCUAGUAAUCGCGCAUCAGCCACGGCGCGGUGAAUACGUUCCCGGGCCUUGUACACACCGCCCGUCAAGCCAUGGGAGCCGGGGGUACCUGAAGUGCGUAACCGCGAGGAGCGCCCUAGGGUAAAACUGGUGACUGGGGC